GAACGGGCGUACACACGUCAGUGGCAGACCGGGUGAGUAACACGUGAGGAACGUACCCUUCAUUUCGGGAUAAGCCGAUGACACUUGGUCUAAUACCGGAUACUUCCGCAAUGAUAAAUGUUUUUCGCUGAAGGAUCGGCCCGCGUCUGAUUAGCUAGUUGGUGGGGUAAUGGCCUACCAAGGCGACGAUCAUUAUCUGGUCUGAUAGGAUGAUCAUUCUCAUUGGGACUGAUACACGGCCCAAACUCCUACGGGAGGCAUCAGUGGGGAAUAUUGGACAAUGGGCGCAAGCCUGAUCCAGCCAUGCCGCGUGAUUGACGAAUGCCUUAGGGUUGUAAAGCUCUUUUGCCUGUGAAGAUAAUGACUGUACCAUUAGAAUAAGCCCCGGCUAACUUCGUGCCAUCAGCCGCGGUAAU
rnacentral:rRNA from 1 species